CCCAGAGGACCCAGAGGAUUCUAUGGACCGACUGGACCUCGUGGUGAAGCUGGCGAGGCAGGCUUUUCAGGGCCUCCUGGACCAUUGGGUGCCUCUGGGCCGAGGGGAAUGAAAGGCGUGCCGGGGGUGAAUGGAGCUCAGG